rnacentral:rRNA from 1 species
AUUGAACGCUGGCGGAAUGCUUUACACAUGCAAGUCGAACGGUAGAGGGGGCAACCCCUCGAGAGUGGCGAACGGGUGAGUAAUAUAUCGGAACGUGCCCAGUCGUGGGGGAUAACGUAGCGAAAGUUACGCUAAUACCGCAUACGAUCUAAGGAUGAAAGCGGGGGAUCGCAAGACCUCGCGCGAGUGGAGCGGCCGAGAUCAGAUUAGGUAGUUGGUGGGGGAAAGGCUCACCAAGCCAACGAUCUGUAGCUGGUCUGAGAGGACGACCAGCCACACUGGAACUGAGACACGGUCAAGACUCCUACGGGAGGCAGCAGUGGGGAAUUUUGGACAAUGGACGCAAGUCUGAUCCAGCCAUUCCGCGUGCAGGAUGAAGGCCCUCGGGUUGUAAACUGCUUUUGUACGGAACGAAAAGGUCUCUCUUAAUACGGGGGGCUCAUGACGGUACCGUAAGAAUAAGCACCGGCUAACUACGUGCCAGCCGCCGCAGUAA